rnacentral:tRNA from 1 species
GCCUGGGUGGCUCAGUUGGAGAAGCGUCUGACUUCGGCUCAGGUCAUGAUCUCACGCUUCGAGGGUUCAAGCCCCACCUCGGGCU